UUCAGUUGUUUCCAAUAGAAGCACUGUGCUUUUAAAAACUGCAGAAACCGGCAGGUUUUUUCCAUGCUGAGCCCCUGGAGUUAACAGAUCUAAAGUGAUAUCUGGACUGGAUCACACGGGCUGAAGAUAUUGACCCUGAUAAAGAUGAUGAGAGAGUUCAGGAGACCAAAGACAGCCCAUGCAUUCCCACAAGUGAGACAGAAUCUAUGGAGACACAAAAUCCAGAAGAGGACGAGAGGAUCUUGUGCUGUGGACCUGCCUGUCAAAAUCUCACAAAGUCAAAAAAGUUCAGGUCAGUAGCUCAAUGUGUCAGUCUUGCAUGUGCCUUUGUCCUAUAAUUUGAGGUGACAUCAAACCAGAGGUGGGGGACUCGAGCCACAUGACUUAAGUCUGACUCGAGUCACAUUUUUCA